rnacentral:rRNA from 1 species
GAUGAACGCUGGCGGCGUGCCUAAUACAUGCAAGUCGAGCGAACAGACGAGGAGCUUGCUCCUCUGACGUUAGCGGCGGACGGGUGAGUAACACGUGGAUAACCUACCUAUAAGACUGGGAUAACUUCGGGAAACCGGAGCUAAUACCGGAUAAUAUAUUGAACCGCAUGGUUCAAUAGUGAAAGACGGUUUUGCUGUCACUUAUAGAUGGAUCCGCGCCGCAUUAGCUAGUUGGUAAGGUAACGGCUUACCAAGGCGACGAUGGGUAGCCGACCUGAGAGGGUGAUCGGCCACACUGUAACUGAGACACGGUCCAGACUCCUACGGGAGGCAGCAGUAGGGAAUCUUCCGCAAUGGGCGAAAGCCUGACGGAGCAACGCCGCGUGAGUGAUGAAGGUCUUCGGAUCGUAAAACUCUGUUAUUAGGGAAGAACAAAUGUGUAAGUAACUAUGCACGUCUUGACGGUACCUAAUCAGAAAGCCACGGCUAACUACGUG